rnacentral:rRNA from 1 species
AGGUGGAGCAAAACUCAAAAACUUAGUCUCAGUUCGGAUUGUUAGGCUGAAACUCGCCUACAUGAAGCUGGAGUUGCUAGUAAUCGCGAAUCAGCAUGUCGCGGUGAAUACGUUCCCGGGCCUUGUACACACCGCCCGUCACACCAUGAGAGUUGGCAAUACCCAACGUACGUGAUCUAACCCGCAAGGGAGGAAGCGUCCUAAGGUAGGGUCAGCGAUUGGGGUGAAGUCGUAACAAGGUACC